rnacentral:rRNA from 1 species
AUAUAUUCCUAUACCAUGCUGAAAGUACCGGUUCUCAUCCGAUCACCAAAGUCAAGCAACAUUGGGCGCGGUCAGUACUUAGGAAUGUGACCACCUGGGAACAUCGCGUGCUGUUGACA